rnacentral:RNase_P_RNA from 1 species
AGAGCAGCUCGGGCGGCCGCUGUGUCCGAGAGGGCAGAGAGGAAAGUCCGGGCUCCACAGGGCAGGAUGCCGGGUAAUACCCGGUCGGCGCGAGCCGGAGGACAGUGCCACAGAAAACAAACAGCCCCUCCGGGGGCAAUGGUGAAAAGGCAGGGUAAGAGCCUGCCGGAUGCGGCGCAAGCUGUAUGCCUGGCAAACCCCAUCCGGAGCAAGAUCGAAUAGGGGGGGAUGAGGUAGCCCGCUGACCCCCGGGUACGAUCGCUUGAGGUGUUCCGCAAGGAACUUCCCAGAGAAAUGGUCGCCAUAUACAGAACCCGGCUUAUGAGCUGCUCAUUUG